rnacentral:misc_RNA from 1 species
AAAGAGAGGAGGAAAGGGCAAAAUCACGUGCACAGGUAAGCAACCACGUACACACGCACAAGCACACGCACACACACUCAAGCGUGCGCGGUGUGAACGCUUAGUAAGACGAUUGAAUUUCAAGGGUGUGUACGUGUGCAUGUGCGUGUGCGUGUCUGUCACUUCAAAAUACAUGUCGUUUUGUGCACCUCUUUUUUUUUCAAGCAUGUCCACUCGGCGAUAGAACAUGAACUAAACUUCAAUGCACCCCCCCCCCCCCACUCCUUCCCCCAGUUUGUCGCAGGGCCAUCGUGUGGUGCGAAGCAGCACAAGAGACGCGCCACAGCCAUGCGACGACUUGGUCAUGGGAGUGCAGCCUUCGUUUCACACUUUAGCGACCUCCGCUCCGAAGGUCGCCUCACAGCCGCUCCCAUUGUGCCGGUGGCUACGUGGUGCAUCCCCCCCUCGGUGUGGCACUCCGGCUCCCCACACCAGCAGGCAGUGUGAGGACCGGGCUUUGAGAUACGCUCGAGUCGCGCUGGGACGCUCUGCCCAUCAUGUCGACGGCACAAACAUGUUCAACGCCGCAGGUCACUCCGACGCAGCGCUAUCCAGGACCUCACCGCCGACACUAGCAGCAAUCCAUCUCUCUGACCUCCCCUAAGUCGUAGGUGCAUGACUCCGCCACCACCAGAAGUGGCUCGGCAUUGACAGGGACAGGGGCUGUUUGGCUUCCCCCCCACACAGUGGAAUACUGGAGCGUGAAGUACCACGCACUGCGCGGUGUGUGUUUUCCCCUGUUUUCAGGUUAUGUGCUUGUAUUCGACACAGAAAGAGUUCUUGACAGGCGACGGGGCGGGUGGGUAGAUGGGGGGGGCAGCAGCGCCAUGAUGACCGCUACUGCUUGUGUUGCACUUUUUUCGCUGUUUUUGUUGUCCCGCCUCCUUUGCUGACUCGCUUCGCUCACACUUUUGUGUGCGUUUAUUUUUUUUUUGCGAAAAAGAAAAUUGGGCUUCUGCUUGAGUGAUUCUAAACGCGCAGAUGCUGAGAUUAGGCACUCUCGACCGCCGCUGAUGCCGGCGCUCCUCUGAUCAUUGUGGCGGGCGCUGCUGUGCGGUCUCCACGUGUAUCCGCAGAUGCCCCUUUUUUGUGUGUGCGUGUUCGGGUGCGUGUGACCAUAUCGGCACUGAGCAUUGAGGAAGCAGCGCAUGUGCUCAUGUCGAUGGUGCGCGCCUGUGCGUUCCAUUGUUUGUUUCCUUGAAAUUUUUUUGUUCGGUUCUCCUUCUUCUCACCUCUCCAGUGCCCCACGCCUUAUCUGCGUUUUUCUGUUACAUGUAUUUUUGUGUUGUGCUGUUUUACGUCCUUUUUAUUAUUAUUGUUGUGCGUACGUGUGUAUGUGUGUGUUUCUCCCCGAUUCUAUCCCACGCCCAUCUCUCUUGCCGUGUUUGCGCUUUUUCUCUUUUACUUAUGAGGUGCUGCCCUCUUUCUAUCACUCUGUCGCGUUUCUGUGGCGGGUGAGAGUGAUGAUGCUGUUGUUGCUGUUUCUAUGGCGGAUUGUUUUCUUCUCCCUUCUUUUGCGUGUGCAUGUGUGUGAAGAUGUUUGUGUGCAUGCAGUUAUGUUGCGUGUGGGCGCUUGCGUGCGCGUGUUUUUGUUUUGGCUGUUGUUGUUGUUCACCUCCUCCGUUUCGGCUCCCUUUUCCUCCACCGUCGUGGCGUCUUCUUGUCGUUUGUUUCCGUUUGCGUUUCUCUGUGAGCGUUUGCUUGUUUCCAUUCUUGUGUGUGUGUGCGUGUGAACUUCACAAGGCGAGGCCGCUUGCUUUUUUUUUAUCUGUCUGCGUGCGCGUGUGGGCGUGUACUCUCUAGACCUUGUGCCUGUUGCUCCCCCUCUGUGUAUGUGCGUGUAUUCUCCCUCCUUUCCCCUUCUCCUUUCGAGUGUGUGUGCGCGUGUCGUUGUGACAUGCACUGGCGUAGUGAACUUGCACUUGGAUGUCGUCUCCUCCUCUGCGCGUUCGCUCGGUACCUUUCUUUUGUUGUCCGUUGUACCGUUGCCGUGCUUGGAUCCUUGCGGCUACAUGGGUUUUGUGUUGCUGUUGGUGUUAUUCUCUCGACGGACGUAAGAGUGUCUUGGAAGGCAACACACGCGCAACGUGCUGGUGGCGCCAAUGGCCUUCACGGUUGAGCCACACACACACAGACAGACACACACACACACACACACACACACACAACGUGAGGUGACCCCAAUCCGAGGCGAUGUGCGGGGACCAACAUCAGCCGUUGCGUCUUGAUGUUUUGCGGAAAUGUGAAGCGACUCGAGUGGCAUGGCGACGGCCUGCGUAGCAGACCAUGUCGGUGCUGUUCGUCAUUUGAGGC